rnacentral:lncRNA from 10 species
CGUGCGAACGCACCACAUUCCGGAACGGGAAGAAGGAGCUGUCUCUCUCUUCUGAGGGGUAGGCAGGUGCUUCCGAAUCGCGGAAUGUAGGUGCUCAUAAGCUGGAGACCCACGGAAAGAACCUAGAAGCUCCGAGCGGUUGCAGACAGCACUGCAUUGAGCCAACGACUCCUGCUCUACUGAUGGUGAUUCCACAGCUUUGUGAGGAAUAAGUUAAGAUGAAGUACAGUUUCCCCUGGACUUCUUUCUCUCUCCUGCCGCCUUGUGAAGAAGGUGCCUGCCUCCCCUUCCACCACGAUUCUAAGUUUCCUGAAGUCUCCCCAGCCAUGCUGAACUGUCUUGGCAAAUGGUCUGUGUGCACAAGAAAGAAUGUGAAUUCUGCAGUUGUUGGGAUGUUAUCUUAUCUGGAAGAAGAGGAAUAGGAAAGAAAAGGAGUCAGGAAUGGAUCUUACUCAGAAGGCUGACUAGACACAGCCAGGUGGAAGAGCUCCCACUGCGGGACCAAGAUGACUGGAAUGCCCCUAACAGAUCUUCAGAGGGAAGAAACCAGGAGUGGACAGAGAGAAGACACAGAAGCUGGGCUGAAGGUAGUGAAAGCUGGGAAUGUGGCACAGGACUACUGCACACCAGGUUUUUGAAGGAAAAUUACCCUGGAUGGAAGAUCAGAGGUAUAGAAAGAAAUGGAGAGCAAAGAAAGAGG